rnacentral:rRNA from 1 species
UUUCCCGUAGGGGGGCCUGCGGAGGGAUCAUUACAAGUGACCCCGGUCUAACCACCGGGAUGUUCAUAACCCUUUGUUGUCCGACUCUGUUGCCUCCGGGGCGACCCUGCCUUCGGGCGGGGGCUCCGGGUGGACACUUCAAACUCUUGCGUAACUUUGCAGUCUGAGUAAACUUAAUUAAUAAAUUAAAACUUUUAACAACGGAUCUCUUGGUUCUGGCAUCGAUGAAGAACGCAGCGAAAUGCGAUAAGUAAUGUGAAUUGCAGAAUUCAGUGAAUCAUCGAAUCUUUGAACGCACAUUGCGCCCCCUGGUAUUCCGGGGGGCAUGCCUGUUCGAGCGUCAUUUCACCACUCAAGCCUCGCUUGGUAUUGGGCAACGCGGUCCGCCGCGUGCCUCAAAUCGACCGGCUGGGUCUUCUGUCCCCUAAGCGUUGUGGAAACUAUUCGCUAAAGGGUGUUCGGGAGGCUACGCCGUAAAACAACCCCAUUUCUAAGGUUGACCUCGGAUCAGGUAGCUCCCUGAC